rnacentral:ncRNA from 1 species
AUAGUCUCGUCGGGGUGCCUUCGGGCUGAGAGGCGGCUGAAACCGCCAACCCGCGGAACCUGAACCGGGUCAUGCCGGCGGAGGAAGCGAGAUGUGCAGGUAU